UACGUAGGUGGCAAGCGUUGUCCGGAUUUAUUGGGUUUAAAGGGUGCGUAGGCGGCUUUGUAAGUCAGUGGUGAAAUACGGUAGCUUAACUAUCGAGGUGCCAUUGAUACUGCAGAGCUUGAGUACAGAUGAGGUAGGCGGAAUUGACGGUGUAGCGGUGAAAUGCUUAGAUAUCGUCAAGAACACCUAUAGCGAAGGCAGCGUUCUAGGCUGUAACUGACGCUGAGGCACGAAAGUGUGGGGAUCAAACAGG
rnacentral:rRNA from 1 species